ACACUGAUAUAGAUUGUGAUACAAACAUGCUUUAUUCAAUACUGAGUAGCAUUUUUAAACGGCGACAUUUUGAACAUUUUCAUAUUUAGAGUGAGAGUGGAUACACGUUACACUGGCGGCGACAUUUUGAAAAUUUGAGGAAACAAAAACAUUCUCCAACGAGUUUUUCAGCUCGGGGAAUGAGAGAAUAGAUUCACCUUUGUGUCGCUUUUCAGAUCGUAUUUAAUUCCUUUCCGGUACUUUAGUUUCUUUGAACUUCUUUGUUACUAAGCCUAUAUUGAAUUUUUAAAAUUAAGAAAUCCGUGAUUUUACUUGCAGGCAUGACUGAUUAAUGGAAUUAUUUUACUUUUAUAUAGAAUAUGGACGGCACUCCAUUACAGCAUGUGCAUGGUUGGACCUGUUGACAUUUUUAGAAACGCAUAUUGGUCUAUUAUACAGAGUAUUGUUGUACUGCUCCAAAGUGCUUGUUGACAGACUGAAACCACUUGCUUGAGGCUCAUAAGGUUCACUUCUUGAGAGAAGGCAGCUACAAAAUGGAAGGUCAACAAAUCCAGUAUACUUGGAAAGCAAGAAAGAAACACCAGAAAAUAUAAAAAGACAGAAGAACAAGGGAACUUUAAUAAAAAAAAAACUUUUAAGGAUAGGAAUUCAGGAUUUAUUUAGAAACUAAAUAUAUUUUGAGAACAGCAGUGUUUGACUAAGCUCUGUUACUUUAAGAGAUAAUGUGAUUAUCACAUUGGUUUUGUUAUUGUCGAGCCCGCUUGCGGAAGCGAAGACAUAGUUGUCCAAAUGUCUAUUCGGUGUUAUGUGCGUGCGUGCGUGCGUCCGGAUUUGUUUGUCCGGACCAUAAUUUGGACAUGCAUGUAGCAAUCUUGUUUAUAUAUGGUAUGAAUGCUAACCUCAGUGAGACAGAGUGUCAUGCACAAGCCCCAGGUUCCUAUCUCAAAGGUCAAGAUCGCACUUACAGGUCAAAGGUCAAAUUCAAAAAUGACUUUGUCCGGAGCAUUUCUUCUUCAUGCAUGGAGGGAUUUUGAUGCAACUUGGCACAAUUGUUCACCAUCAUGAGGUGGAGUGUCAUGCGCAAGAACGAGGUCCCUAGGUCUAAGGUCAAGGUCACACUUAGAGGUCAAAGGAUACAAGAAUGACAACUUUGUCUGGAGCAUUUCUUCUUCACGCAUGGAGGGACUUUGAUGUAACUUGGCACAAAUGUUCACCACCAUGAGACGGAGUGUCAUGCGGAAGAACCAGGUCUAAGGUCAAGGUCACACUUAGAGGUCAAAAGUCAGAUACAAGAAUGACUUUGUCUGGAGCAUUUCUUUUUGAUGCAUAGAGGGAUUUUGAUGUAACUUGGCACAAUUGUUCAUCAUCAUGCGACGGAGUGUUAUGCAUAAGAUCCUAGAAUUACUUCCCUUUGUUGUUACUAUAAAUAGCUUACAUUUGUAACUUGUUUAUUACUGGUCGUAGGGAAAAAUCAAGACCACUUUUCUGUAGUACAACAUGCAUGUUACAUCCAGUUUUCAGGUGUAUUUUGACCUAUCUCUGAUGGUGCGGAUUUUUGUGUGAAUUUUUUUUAAAUUUUUUUUUUAUAAUUUUACGUUCCUUUGUUGUUACUGUAAAUAACUUAUAUUGUAACUUUUUGCAAUCUCUUUUAUUUGGCAUAAAUGUUUGCCUCAAUGAGACAAGGAGUUUCAUGCACAACUCCCAGUCCUUUUGACAGCUGGUGGGCUUGACAUAUUGCCGGUGGGCAUCUAGUUCUCAUAUUUUUCAUGAGAUUUUAAAGAGAAUGUUCUGUUAUACCCCCAUGUAGUAAGCUUGUCUGUCUUUCAGUCAGUAGGUUUUCAUGGCUUCCAGAUGAUAACUCAUGAAAAGCUUGACCGAUUUAAAUAUUUUUUGGUACAUAGUUACAGGUCAAGUUCGACUUUGGGGUCAGUAGGUCAAAGGUCAAGAUAACUUGCAAACGCUUUGGCCUGGGAUCAUAGCUUUUGUAACACAGGUGUAACAUGAUAAAAUACAGGUUGUUUGAAUUUGAGGUCAAUAGAUCAAAGGUCAAGGUCACAGUGA